rnacentral:rRNA from 1 species
AUUGAACGCUGGCGGCAUGCUUUACACAUGCAAGUCGAACGGCAGCGGGGAGGAGCUUGCUUCUCUGCCGGCGAGUGGCGAACGGGUGAGUAAUACAUCGGAACGUGUCGAGAAGAGGGGGAUAACCACCCGAAAGGGUGGCUAAUACCGCAUAAAUUCUGAGGAAGAAAGCUGGGGACCUAGGAAUAGGCCUAGCGCUUUUUGAGCGGCCGAUGUCGGAUUAGCUAGUUGGUGAGGUAAAGGCUCACCAAGGCGAAGAUCUGUAGCGGGUCUGAGAGGAUGAUCCGCCACACUGGGACUGAGACACGGCCCAGACUCCUACGGGAGGCAGCAGUGGGGAAUUUUGGACAAUGGGGGCAACCCUGAUCCAGCCAUGCCGCGUGUAUGAAGAAGGCCUUAGGGUUGUAAAGUACUUUUGUUAGGGAAGAAAAGUCGGCUGUGAAUAAUGGCUGAUACUGACGGUACCUAAAGAAUAAGCACCGGCUAACUACGUG